AAGGCUUUAGCUUAAUUAAAGUGUCUGUUUUGCAUACAGGAGAUGUGGGUUAGUGUCCUGCAAGUCUUA
rnacentral:tRNA from 6 species